UCCGGUUCUCGUUAGAUCACCGAAGUCAAGCAUCAUUGGGCUCGGUCAGUACUUGGGUGGGUGACCACCUGGGAACACCGCGUGCCGUU